AAGUAAUGAAUAAUAGAUUUGAAAUAUUUAUUAUAUAGAUUUAAAGAAAUAAUCAUAGAAUACAUAAGUUAUUAAUAGUUAUUAGGUUACUAAUAAAUAAAUAAAUAUAUUUAUUUUAAUACCUAAGGUAAACCAUAAAAAAUUAUUUAUUUAAAAUAAUAAAUAAUUAUUAUAAAUAUACUAAGUGAACUGAAACAUCUAAGUAACUUAAGGAUAAAAAAUCAACCGAGAUAUUAUGAGUAUUGGUGAGAGAAAAUAAUAUAGUUAAUAAUUUUUUUAAUUAUUUAUAAAAAUUAUAUAUAUAAGUAUUAUGUAAUAUAAUUAUGUAAGAAUAUAGGACAAACUAGUUCUAAAACUAAAUACUAUUAAUAAACAAAAUAAGUACCGAAAGGGAAAGUAUGUAAGUGGUUAUUUUAUAAGUAAUCAUAGAUAUAAAUUUUAUAUUAAUGAUGUACCUUUUGUAUAAUGGGUCAGCAAGUAAUUAAUAUUAGCAAAAUAAAUAAAUUAUAAAAAAAUUGAUAAUAAAAAUAUAAAAGUUAAUAUUAAUUGACCCGAAAGCAAAUGAUCUUACUAUGACCAGACGGUUAAACGGUCGAACAGGUUGAUGUUGCAAUAUCAUCUGAUGAGUUGUGGUAAGUAGUGAAAGACAAAUCUGAUUUGCAGAUAGCUGGUUUUCUACGAAAUAUAUGUAAGUAUAGCUUUUAUAAUAAUAAUUAUUAUAAUUCAUUCAUUGAAUUAUAAAGAACGGUACAGCAACAAAUAUAUUUAGGGGAACUAUUGUAGUUUUAUCAAAAAUAUUUGAUCUCGAAAUGUUUAAUUACCCACUCUCCUAUAUGAAUAUAGGAAUAGUCCCCCCCCCCUUGUGGGGGGAGACAAUGGAAUAGUGGGGAUUAUAAAAAGUCAGAUUAUGUGCGAUAAGGUAAAUAAUCUAAAGGGAAACAGCCCAGAUUAAUAUAUAAGGUUCCUAAUUAUAUAAUAAGUGAAAAAAAUAUUAAAAUAUUAUAAUACAAUCAGUUAAUGGAUUUGACAAUAACCAUUUUUUAAUGAACAUGUAACAAUGCACUGAUCUAUUAUAUAAUCUUGUAUAGAUUAUAUACAUAUAAUAUUAUAAAUUUUUCUUAUUGAAUAAGAAAAUUAAUAAACAAUAUACGGAUCUUUUUAUUUAUUUAUUAAAAUUAUUUAACCGAAUAUUUAAAUAUUAUUAUUAAUAAUAUUUUAUUUCCAUUUAUUUUAAUUGGGUGGUAUUUAUAAAAUAAUAAUAAUAUGGUAGUAGAACAUUUAAUGAAAAAGGUAUAUUAAUUUUUAAUUAAUAUAUAAAAAAAUAUAAAAAUAUUUUUAAGUUUCAUCCUUGUGGGGGUGGGACGAUGGAAUAGUAAUUAAAUAGAGAAUGCUGACAUGAGUAACGAAAAAAAGGUUAAACCUUUUCACCUAAAACAUAAGGUUUUACUAUAAAAGUACGGCCCUUAAUUAAAUUAUAUAAAUAUAAUAUAAGAUAGGAUAAUUCUAAAUUAAAAAUAACAUCUUUUAUUUUAUUUAAUUAUAAAAAAUUAUAAAAGAUCAAGAAAUAUAUUUAAUUUAUACCGUAAUGUAUACCGACUCAGGUAUGUUAGUAGAGAAUAUUAAGGUGAAUUAGAUAAUUAAAGGGAAGGAACUCGGCAAAAAUAGCUCUAACGUUAGUCAAUAAAGAGAUAAUUUAAAAACAAGGUUGUACAACUGUUUAAUAAAAACACCGCACUUUGCAUAAACGAUAAGUUAACGUAUAAGGUGUGAACUCUGCUCCAUGCUUAACAUAUAAAUAAUAUUAUUUAAUGAUAAUAUUAUUAAAUUUAAGUAAAUAGCAGCCUUAUUAUGAGGGUUCUAAGGUAGCGAAAUUCAUUGUCCAAUAAUUAUGGUCCUGCAUGAAUGACGUAAUGAUACAACAACUGUCUCCCCUUUAAGCUAAGUGAAAUUAAAAUCGCAGUGAAGAUGCUGUGUACCUAUAGUGUGACGGAAAGACCCUAUGCAGCUUUACUGUAAUUAGAUAGAUCGAAUUAUUGUAUAUUAUAUUCAGAAUAUUAAGUAAUUGAUUAAAUAAAAAUGAGAUACUUAUUAUAAUAAUAUAAUAAUUCUAAUCUUAAUAUAAAUUAUUUAAUAGAUAUUAAUUCUUAAAUAAAAAUAUUAUAUAUUAUAUAUAUAUUUUAUAUAUAUUUAUAUAUAAUAUAUUAAUAAGAGACAAUCUCUAAUUGGUAGUUUUGAUGGGGCGUCAUUUUCAGCAAUAAUAUCUGAAUAAGUCUAUAUAUAAAUUAUAAUAUUAUUAAUAUAUAAAAAUAUAUAUUAGAUAUAUUAAUUAUAAAUAGAAAUAUAUUUCUUAAAUAAAAAAAAAAAUAAGUUAUAUAUUUUAGUAAUAGAUAAAAUCAUGUAUAGUAAAAUUGUCUAGAAAACAAUAAUAAUAAUAUAAUUCUUUAUAUUAUAUAAUAAAAUGUAUUAAAUUAAUAUAAUGGUAUAACUAUGCAACAAUUAUAACACAAACAAGUGAAAUAAGUACGUAAGUAUGGCAUAAUGAACAAAUAACACUGAUUGUAAUGGUUAUUGAUAACGAAUAAAAGUUACGCUAGGGAUAAAUUACCUACUUGUCCCAUUAUAUUGAAAAAUAUAAUUAUUUAAUUAAUUAAUUAAUUAAAGUAAAUUGGGUGAAUUGCUUAGAUAUCCUUAUAAAUUAUAAUGGACAAUAAGCAGCGAAGCUUAUAACAACUUUAAUAUAUGUAUAUAUAUACAGUUAUAAGAACGUUCAACGACUAGAUGAUGAGUAGAGUUAACAAUAAUUCAUCCACGAGUGCCCAAUAUCAAAUAAAUAAAUAAAAAAAAUAAAUUUGUUUAUAUUAAAAUUUAUUUGAUAAUGAUAUAGUCUAAACAAUUUGGUAACAAAUUGAUAAAUAAAUAUAUAAUAAUAUUUAUAUAAUAAUAAUAAAUUGAACAGGGUAAUAUAGCGAAAGAGUAGAUAUUGUAAGCUAUGUUUGCCACCUCGAUGUCGACUCUACCUAUCCUCUUGGUUGUAAAUGCUAAGAAGGGUUUGACUGUUCGUCAAUUAAAAGGUAACGUGAGUUGGGUUAAAUACGAUGUAAAUCAGUAUGGUUCCUAUCUACUAUAGGUAAUAUUAUCAACUUAAGUCUUAUUCUUAGUACGCAAGGAUCAGAAUGAAUUAAUCCAUGGUGUAUCUAUUGAUUAUUUUAUAAUAUAUAUAUAUAUUAUAUAUAUAUAUUAUCUAUAUUAAUUUAUAUUUUAUAUUAUAAUCAUAGUAGAUAAGCUAAAUUAAUAAAUAAUAAGUAUUGAAAGCAUAUAAAAUACGAAGUUGUCUUAAGAUGAGAUAAUAAUCUGAUUAUUUUAUACUAAAAUAAUAUAAAUAUUCAAUAUUAAAUUGAAUAUAUAAAUAGGUUUUUUAUAUAUAUAUAUAAAAAAAUACUAAUUUAUCAGUUAUCUAUAUAAUAUCUAAUCUAUUAUUC
rnacentral:rRNA from 1 species